rnacentral:lncRNA from 1 species
CACACCUGACAAAUUAUUAAUCUAAGGUUCCUACUUUUUACAGCAGGUACAACAUAAUUAAUUUGACAUGGGCGAGAAAAUUAAUCUAGAAAUUGUGAGCAUUCUUCAGUCUUCAUUUUAAACUGGGUGUUUUAUUAGAGUCUUAAAUUAGUCUUUUUCUUCCCAGUGGCCUUGUACACUGGUUAAUAAAAUUGUCGUAUUUGGAAACUGAGACUCUUAGAACUAAAAAUGUUUGCCAGUUAAACUGAGUUGUCAAUAAAGACCAGAUUAGGACUCACCCUAUCAAUUCAUAAGAUGUCAGUUGACCUAUUAUACUGUGAUGCUUCUGAGAAAAUAACAUGAAAAGAUAGAUUCAGAUAUUUGCUUUUACCGGCUAAUCAUAACGAGCUUUUUAAAAAUCACAUUUAUAUUCUUUCCAAUAUGUGCACAUCUAUACCCAGAAGGACUUCAUCUUUAGUUCAGCAUUUACCAGAAUUCAGUAAUAACUAGGUUUAGAGGGAUGAGAGAUGAUAGUUAAACAAACAUUGGUGUGGACCAGUUUAGACAACAAAAAACUUUAGGUCAAUUUUUUUGAGACGUUGACAUUCUUUAGAAUUCCCUGGGAGCUCAUUGAAAAUGUAGGUAUCCUAGCCUCAUUAUCAGAAAUUUUGAUUCUAUCUAUAGGUUUUUGUUUUGGCUCAGGCAUCGGUUUUUGGUGAGCUCCCCAGAAAACUCUAGUAUACUCCAAACUAUAAGAACCAAACUUGGGUUGGUCUAAACAUGGCAUAUUAAAAUUUCUAGACUCAAGAAAAUCAGAUUGCUAUCAUGGCCACUGAGCCUCUUGAUUCAAAGGAUAGCAGCCAGAACUCAUUUCCCAGCCUCCUUUGCUGCUAGAGCACAAGUAUGUGGCCUGGGUUCUGCCAGUCAGAUACACCCAUGAAGGAUCAGGAUUCCAAGGCGAGGACAGUGAAGAAAUAGUCAUUCCCAGAAUCAUCUUAUGGUGGCGGAAGUGGCCAGAUUUUCAACAGUAGCGGAGCUUCUGGUACCCAGUCCCAAGCAUCACUGAUGUGACCCGCCGCCAUGUUGGAGAGCUGUGAUGUGGUGUGAUGACACUGGGGCAUUGCGGUGAGGUUGGACACAUUCCUGGUUAUAUAGCUUCCGGACCUGCUUAGACUGGCCAGAUACAUUGCUGUGUUUGCAGCUAAGAGCCCUGAGUAACAUAAAGGAGUUAUACUAGUCAAGAGCAUAAACUUUGGAGACAGCAGCCUAGAAUCAAAUCCUGGCCCUGCCACUAGCUGUGUAAACUUGAGAAAGUUUCUUAAUUGUAACUUAUCUGUAAUUAUCUCAGCUGUAAUUUUUCUUAAAAUGGGGGCAAUGAUACCUCACAGGGUAUUAUGAAGAUUACAGGAAAUGACACAUUUAAGCAAUUAGCACAGUAUCUAGCGAUGAGUGGUGGUUGUCAUUAUUGUAAACCCCCCCUCAUUUCUUUUGACCUGAGAAAAGUUCUCUAUUUGUCAAGACUCCUGGCAGCAAGUGAUGAAAACCUAGCUCAAACUGGCUUAAGCAAAAACAAAAGAUAAUUUACUCACUCAUGUAACGAAAAGUUCAGAAAGUAGCCCUGGCUUGGGGUAGAACUGCAUCUGGACAUCCAGCUCACGUUGCCAGGAUUCUGUCUCUGUCCCUCCCUUGCCUUCCUUUGCGUGGACUUCCUCUCUAGGUGGGCUUCCCAGAUGGUGACAGAGAUAGCAGCCCCUCUGAAGUGACCCCCUACCAGCUGAGCAACCAGUGAAAAAAAACUUCUCCUUCCCACUAGUUCCAGCCAACAAUGGCCAAAGACUGAUACGAUUGCCUCAAGGGACUGGCUUCGGUCCCUUGUUCACCCCGGUAUCUAUCACAUGGUCACUCAGUAGCCCAGGCUGGUUCACAUCUCCUCCUAUGGAGCCCAAGGGUGAGUUAAACCCUCUCUAAACCUGUGCAUAGGCUGAGAACUUAGAAGGGUAGUUCCCGAAAAGAAAGUGAAAGCACUGUAACUGGAAACAAAGGACCAUGUGCUACAAAGGAUCAAAUAUCCCGUGCUUGCAGUAGCCCCCAUCUCAUUUUUUUAUUCCCAUCAAUCUGUUAAUGAGAGAACCAGUAUUUGUUUACCCAAUGGGAUGUCACCCAUCUGCCUAUCUAUUCACACCAGCUCCACCAGUGUGAAUCCCCUCUCCAUCAGGUUGCUUCUGUUUCAGUUGUCAUGGUUAUGAAUCUUUACAUGCGUGGCAGGGGGUGGAGGAGUGUAGGGAGGGAACGAGCACACACUGACCUGCUCUAGAGAUGACUUGGCCUGGAUAGUUUCUGCCCAAUAAGACACCACUGCUUGUCCCUUACUUACUUGCUUCCAUACCUUUCUCUGACAUCAAGAAGUACAUUUAGCACCAAGUAGAUGAGAAAUGAGUGUCACAGUUUAUUCACCACAUUCUGCUGCGAUAUAUAAAUCACAGUACAAUUCAAAAUGAUUUAUUUAGCCUUUCCAUUUACAAACAAGACAAGAAGAAAGAAGAGAGGGAAAUGAAAAAAUAAAAAGAGUUGGCAGCUUCAACCUAAUCAAUAGUGAGGAAGCUUGCCUGACACUGCCAGUUUAUCAUGUAUCUUGAUAGAAGGCGUCCAGUAUCUGAGGCAGCCCUCCUCAAGAGAGGUUAGCCAAAGCUGGGGCCCAGACUACCAAAUCACAGACUAGGUGGAAGUAGGAAGGGGAAUGGGAGAUUCUCAGAUUCAUCUCCUGAUCACCUGGAGAGCUGGGUCUGGAAGAGUGUCAGAGGCAAGUGUCAUGGCUGGAUGGUGGUCCCCAAAAGGCGUGUCUACCCAGGACCUCAGAAUGUGACCUUGUUUGGAAGGAGGGUCUUUGCAGAUAUUAAUUAAAUUAAAGAUCUCAAGCUGAGAUCACCUGAAUUUGGGUCGGGCCUUACAUCCUGUGACUGAUAAUCUUACAAGAGAAAGGAAAAGGAGGUGUUCCCACUGUGGCGCAGUGUGUUAACGAUCCAGCUUGUCUCUGGUUCAGUCCCCGACCCAGCGCAGUGGAUUAAGCACCUGGAUCCCGCAUUGCCACAGCUGUGGCAGAGUCUGCAGAUGUGACUCAGAUUCAUCCCUGGCCAGGAACUUCCAUAUG